CAGUCGCCACGGGAAUACGUAGGGUGCAAGCGUUGUCCGGAAUUAUUGGGCGUAAAGAGCUCGUAGGCGGUUUGUCGCGUCUGCUGUGAAAUCCCGAGGCUCAACCUCGGGCUUGCAGUGGGUACGGGCAGACUAGAGUGCGGUAGGGGAGAUUGGAAUUCCUGGUGUAGCGGUGGAAUGCGCAGAUAUCAGGAGGAACACCGAUGGCGAAGGCAGAUCUCUGGGCCGUAACUGACGCUGAGGAGCGAAAGCGUGGGGAGCGAACAGGAUUAGAUACCCCCGUAGUCCCUGUCUCUUAUAC
rnacentral:rRNA from 1 species